CUUACACUUUCUACUCAAAAAAUCAAUCUACAAUCUCUAUUUGUUUCUUUGUGUUAUUGUGUGAUCUUUGAAAAUGGCGAAUUACCAGAACCAAUAUGGUGCAACGGCCCAAUCUACAAAUGAUUACGGGAACCCACUCACCAACUACACCGGAUCAGAGCCCCAAUCUACAAAUGAGUACGGGGCUACAGAUGAGUAUGGGAACCCAGUCACCACCUACACCAGAUCAGAGCCCCACUAUACAGAUGAGUAUGGGAACCCAGUACGCGAAAGGGGGAUGAUGGACAAGAUCAAGGAGAAGCUCCCAGGUACUCAUGACCCCUACUCAUCUCAUUCUCAGACAACCUACCCCACUGCACGUUACGGUGAAACCGGCUACACUGGAUUGGAGCAGCACCAUGGGAUGAUGAACAAGAUGCCAGGUACUGACCCCUACUCAUCUCAUUCUCAUACAACCGGCACCACUGCACCUUACGAUGGAACCGGCUACACCGGAACAGAGUACCGCCAGCACAAGGGCACGAUGGACAGGAUCAAGGAUAAGCUGACUGGGACUGGUGGACAUAGGGUGGAUGAUCCCUACUCAUCUCAUUCUCAUAAAACCGCCACCACCACACCUUACGGUGGCACCACCACCACAGCUUACGGUGACAGCACCACCACACCUUCACCUUACGGUGGCACCACCACCACACAUUCACCUUACGGUGGCACCACCACCACAGCUUACGGUGACACCACCACCACACCUUCAGCUUACGGUGGCACCACCACCACACCUUCAGCUUACGGUGGCACCGCCACCACCACCUACCCCCGUGAAAAGAAGGGCAUCAUGGACAAGAUCAAAGAGAAACUUCCUGGUGGACAUCAUUAUUAAUAAUAGGGUUAUGUAAGAGAUAGAUACGUUAGGUAUCGUUUUGUGUUCAAUGUUUUAGUAUGACGUGUAUAAUAAGCGGUG
rnacentral:lncRNA from 1 species